UACGGAGGAGGCAAGGGGUAUCCGGAAUUACUGGGUGUAAAGGGCGCGUAGGCGGCCUGUUAAGUCCCGUGUGAAAUCCCUCGGCUCAACCGAGGAACUGCACGGGAAACUGGCGGGCUUGAGUUCGGGAGAGGGAAGCGGAAUUCCGGGUGUAGCGGUGAAAUGCGUAGAUAUCCGGAGGAACACCGGUGGCGAAGGCGGCUUCCUGGACCGACACUGACGCUGAGGCGCGAAAGCUAGGGGAGCAAACGGG
rnacentral:rRNA from 1 species